rnacentral:rRNA from 1 species
GGCUCAGACAGCCAGGAUGUUGGCUUAGAAGCAGCCAUCAUUUAAAGAAAGCGUAAUAGCUCACUGGUCGAGUCGGUCUGCGCGGAAGAUUUAACGGGGCUAAGCUAUACACCGAAGCUGCGGCAAUAUAACUUGUUAUAUUGGGUAGGGGAGCGUUCUGUAAGCCGUUGAAGGUCAAUCGUAAGGUUGGCUGGAGGUAUCAGAAGUGCGAAUGCUGACAUGAGUAACGAUAAAGGGAGUGAAAAACUCCCUCGCCGGAAGAUCAAGGGUUCCUGUCCAACGUUAAUCGGGGCAGGGUAAGUCGACCCCUAAGGCGAGGCCGAAAGGCGUAGUCGAUGGGAAACGGGUUAAUAUUCCCGUACUGCUUAUAACUGCGAUGGGGGGACGGAGAAGGCUAGGUGGGCUUGGCGACGGUUGUCCAAGUUCAAGGGUGUAGGCUGAAAUCUUAGGCAAAUCCGGGAUUUCCUCUUUAAGUAGAGAAGGCUGAGACCCGAUGUCGAGUCACUACGGUGAUGAAGCCAUUGAUGCCAUGCUUCCGGGAAAAGCCUCUAAGCGAUAGGUUAUAAGUAAUCGUACUCCAAACCGACACAGGUGAUCAGGUAGAGAAUACCAAGGCGCUUGAGAGAACUCGGGUGAAGGAACUAGGCAAAAUGGUACCGUAACUUCGGGAGAAGGUACGCUCCUGACGGUGAUGAGACUUGCUCUCUAAGCUGUUGGGAGUCGCAGAUACCAGGUGGCUGCAACUGUUUAUUAAAAACACAGCACUGUGCAAAAUCGAAAGAUGACGUAUACGGUGUGACGCCUGCCCGGUGCCGGAAGGUUAAUUGAUGGGGUUAGACGC